rnacentral:rRNA from 1 species
GACUCCGUGAAGCUGGAUUCGCUAGUAAUCGCGCAUCAGCCAUGGCGCGGUGAAUACGUUCCCGGGCCUUGUAUACACCGCCCGUCCAAGCCAUGGGAGCCGGGAGCGCUUGAAGUGCGUCGCCGCGAGGCGCGCCCUAGAGCGAGACCGGUGACUGGGGCUAAGUCGUAACAAGGUACC